rnacentral:rRNA from 1 species
UACGAAGGGGGCUAGCGUUGCUCGGAAUCACUGGGCGUAAAGGGUGCGUAGGCGGGUCUUUAAGUCAGGGGUGAAAUCCUGGAGCUCAACUCCAGAACUGCCUUUGAUACUGAGGAUCUUGAGUUCGGGAGAGGUGAGUGGAACUGCGAGUGUAGAGGUGAAAUUCGUAGAUAUUCGCAAGAACACCAGUGGCGAAGGCGGCUUACUGGUCCGGUUCUGACGCUGAGGCACGAAAGCGUGGGGAGCAAACAGGG